GAAAAGGUGGAACAGCUGAGAAGGUUGUUGAAACAGCGGCUAACUGCUGCUAAUGUCGGGAAACAAACAUCACAGAGCAGCAAGGAAGAACGAGUGGAUAUAAGAAGAGAAGAAACUAGUCAACGUGCUGGAUGCUGUUUUCAAGCCUGAAGUUCGCUGAUCCAGAGCAGUCUUUCUGCAAACAUGUCUGAAGUCCAGCAGCUGAGGGACAUGUUGAAACUACAGCAAACACCUGCUGAUGGAAUGAUCACAAACCAGGAAGAAGAAAAGUGUCAUUUAAAAGAAGAGAACAAAAGAUACAUGCAGCCGUUGUUGGUGAU